UGGGGGAUAUUGCACAAUGGGCGAAAGCCUGAUGCAGCGACGCCGCGUGGGGGAUGAAGGCCUUCGGGUUGUAAACUUCUUUUGCUCUGAACAAGGCGCACCAUGGGGUGUGUUGAGUGUAGGGGUUGAUUAGCGCCGGCUAACUACGUGCCAGCAGCCGCGGUAAUACGUAGGGCGCGAGCGUUGUCCGGAAUUAUUGGGCGUAAAGGGCUUGUAGGUGGCUGGUUGCGUCUGUCGUGAAAGCUCAUGGCUUAACUGUGGGUUUGCGGUGGGGACGGGCUGGCUUGAGUGCAGUAGGGGAGGCUGGAAUUCCUGGUGUAGCGGUGGAAUGCGCAGAUAUCAGGAGGAAUACCGGUAGCGAAGGCGGGGCUCUGGGCUGUUACUGACACUGAGGAGCGAAAGCAUGGGGAGCGAACAGG
rnacentral:rRNA from 1 species